rnacentral:rRNA from 1 species
GGCUAAUACCGGAUGCUUGUUUGAACCGCAUGGUUCAAACAUAAAAGGUGGCUUCGGCUACCACUUACAGAUGGACCCGCGGCGCAUUAGCUAGUUGGUGAGGUAAUGGCUCACCAAGGCGACGAUGCGUAGCCGACCUGAGAGGGUGAUCGGCCACACUGAGACUGAGACACGGCCCAGACUCCUACGGGAGGCAGCAGUAGGGAAUCUUCCGCAAUGGACGAGAGUCUGACGUAGCAACGCCGCGUGAGUGAUGAAGGUUUUCGGAUCGUAAAGCUCUGUUGAUAGGGAAGAACAAGUACCGUUCGAAUAGGGCGGAACCUUGACGGUACCUAACCAGAAAGUCACGCCUAACUACGUGCCAGCAGCCGCGGUAAUACGUAGGUGGCAAGCGUUGUCCGGAAUUAUUGGGCGUAAAGGGCUCGCAGGCGAUUUCUUAAGUCUGAUGUGAAAGCCCCCGCCUCAACCGGGGAGGGACAUUGGAAACUGGGGAACUUGAGUGCAGAAGAGGAGAGUGGAAUUCCACGUGUAGCGGUGAAAUGCGUAGAGAUGUGGAGGAACACCAGUGGCGAAGGCGACUCUCUGGUCUGUAACUGACGCUGAGGAGCGAAAG